rnacentral:tRNA from 2 species
UCCCUGGUGGUCCAGUGGUUAAGACUCAGCACUUUCACUGCUGGGGCCCAGGUUCGAUCCCUGGUCAAGGAA